UGCGAGCGUAGUUCAACGGUAGAACAAUGUUCCAAGUCUUGAAGCCCAUUCUUUCUUGGAGUACUAUGCAGGUCCGACUCCUGCCGCUCGCGU
rnacentral:tRNA from 2 species